AUGAAGCGCCUGCUCAGGCGGCUCUCCCGCAUCGCCGCGGCAGACGCCUGCGCCGCCGCCGCGUACAAGCCACUCCGGCCCGACGCGGCCGCGAAGGCCUCCUCCUCCUCGUUCUUCGGCGCGCGGAGGCUCGGCCGUGGCGCACGGGUGCCGGAGGGGCACGUGCCGGUGUGCGUUGGCGAGGAGGGCGGCCCCGUCGAGCGCUUCGCCGUGCGGGCCGAGCUGCUGGGCCAGCCGGCGUUCAAGGCCCUGCUCCGGCGCGCCGCGCAGGAGUACGGCUACGGACACCCGGGCGCGGUCCGCAUCCCCUGCGCCGUCGCCAACUUCCGCCGCCUCCUCCUCGGCCUCUCCGACCCCGGCUGCCAGGCCACCGACGACGACGACGCCGCGCUCUACUACUAG
rnacentral:rRNA from 1 species